GCCGAGCGGAGGCUGCACCGGCACCGGGGCCGAACCCAGCCAGCCCGGGCUGGGCCGCGGCUCCCAGCGCUGGCCAGGAAUCACGCUGCGUAUUAUUCUCAUGUACAAAACCAGUCAACAUACAGGAUGGGAUAUCAGAGGAACACUCAGAUGUAUAGAAACAACUGCCAGCGAGAGCAGAAAGGUAAAAAAUAAAUUCAUUAAAUACGCAUGAACCAUAAUUGUUGCUGCAUUUGGAUCCCAGGACAACUUGGUCAGAAGCCUCUCUGGUUGCAAGCGUCCAGCGACAUUUUCAGAGAUACGGCUAUAUUUUUAAUGACCCCUUUUUCAUCUUCUGUACCUCCUUGCAAAUGCAUUUUGAGGAUCUUGUUUGGAGUUGUAAAGGCUUGAUGUGCUCUAGUGAAAUUAUUCUGCCCUUAGUCCUAGAAAUGAGAGGUCUGCUCUUUGGACAUGACCUCCUGAGUGCUAACUCCCUUUGUGCUGCACAGUUGUGCCAAAGAGACGUGAGAGCAGGACCUGUUCUUAAUCCUGUGGGAAAUGGGUGUGAUUUCAGUGGAACUGGGAAAAGCUGAAUUUGUGUUUGUGAGACAUACAGUCUGAAACAGUAGUUCUCUGUUGAAACUUUGCAUUUGUCAGUCCAGUAUAAUUUUUUCAACAAUAA